GUAUGAAUGGACAGGUUAUUGACAUUGUGUUAUGGUUUUAAAACAAACCAUAAACAGAGGGAAUGUAGAAUAUUGCAUAUUCUAUGUUUCUAUUGAUUAUAUAUAAUGGAUGUGUGGAUUGACAUAAGUAACAGAUGGUAUCAAUAAGUCACAAGGCUUUCUUUGUCCGAGAGCUCUGGAAUGUGGAUUCGGGGGUCUUUUCCUUAUAUGGCUAGAGUUAAACGCUGACGUUAGUAUUAGCACUUCUAUAUAGUAACAGAGGGACACGAGGUCUCUCUUGGCUUGGCUCUUGGCUCUGUACAACGAUGUAACUCUCCCAUCAGAAGUCCAGCAAUUACCAUCUGCUGUUGAAUGUACAUAAUCCUGUAACAUCAUUUAUUAUGUUUUAUUAUGUAGC